rnacentral:rRNA from 1 species
UCUACGGGGGGCUGCAGUGGGGAAUAUUGGACAAUGGGCGAAAGCCUGAUCCAGCCAUGCCGCGUGUGUGAAGAAGGCCUUCGGGUUGUAAAGCACUUUCAGUGGGGAAGAAAGCCUUGGGGCUAAUACCCUCGAGGAAGGACAUCACCCACAGAAGAAGCACCGGCUAACUCCGUGCCAGCAGCCGCGGUAAUACGGAGGGUGCGAGCGUUAAUCGGAAUUACUGGGCGUAAAGCGCGCGUAGGCGGUCUGAUAAGCCGGUUGUGAAAGCCCCGGGCUCAACCUGGGAACGGCAUCCGGAACUGUCAGGCUAGAGUGCAGGAGAGGAAGGUAGAAUUCCCGGUGUAGCGGUGAAAUGCGUAGAGAUCGGGAGGAAUACCAGUGGCGAAGGCGGCCUUCUGGACUGACACUGACGCUGAGGUGCGAAAGCGUGGGUAGCAAACAGGAUUAGAUACCCGAGUAGUC